AUGAAGCGCUUCGUUCCUAUCUGGACCAUAUUCACGCAACUGAUUCUUUCACUGUUCUCCAAGCGUCUUAUCAAGAUCUGCGGGAGAAUGAGGGAGGAUCUGUUUUCUUUAGAGAUGCUGUUUCCCACAACCGGGAUCUCCUUGAGGCGGAAAGCUCCGCAAGGAGGUGCCUGGAAGUGGAACAGAGGAUCCGAUGGGAAGAAAUCCCCAAGAGCAAGGCAAGUCUCGAAAGAGCUGAGCACGAGCAUGCUCUCGACUUGUUUAAGUCGGAGGAUCUUAGAAGGGAAUUAG
rnacentral:rRNA from 1 species